rnacentral:misc_RNA from 1 species
AACGCACAUUGCGCCCCUUGGUAUUCCAUGGGGCAUGCCUGUUCGAGCGUCAUUUGUAUCUUCAAGCUUUGCUUGGUGUUGGGUGUUUGUCUUGCUCUAUGCGUGGACUCGCCUUAAAUCAAUUGGCAGCCGGUAAUCUGGUGUUAAGAGCGCAGCACAUUGUGCGCUCCUCGCUGUGUAUCUGCGGCGUCCAUUAAGCCUAUAUUUUUUGCUCUUGACCUCGGAUCAGGUAGGGAUACCCGCUGAACUUAA